UUUAAAGGUGAAAUAUGGAAGAUCGAAUUUGGAGUUUCUCUAAUCGGUCGACUUGUGGUUGUAUAAACUGUACUGACAUAGUCGCCGGAAAAUUCCCACAGCUUCAGAAUUUCUCUUCUCCGUUUUGCCCAAACCUCCACCAGAUCCCUCUGCACUUUGAAGCAGACCUCGUCCCUAAAAUUCUUACCUUUUCCAUACCCUUUCUUUAUGGACUCCACGAAUCCCAAUCCUCCUUCCAUGCGGGUCCUGACCCGUCCACCUCCCCCUGCACCCAUGCCCGCUUCCUCUCCAGAUGCUCAACCAUCUUCCCAAUCUCAACCUCGCUCUCUAGAAGGCGUUGUUGUUGUUGGGUUUGUUUCACGUAGCCCUGACCACUCUUCCCAGCUCAUUAACCGUGUCCUGGACUCCAAUACAUUCGGGUCAGGCAAUCUCGAUAAACUGCUGUUCAAUGACAAAGAGGAAGUGAGGGAUUGGUUUAACGGGCGGAGAAUUAGUUAUUACCAUGAGGAGGAGAAAGGGAUUUUGUUCUUGCAGUUUUGUUCGACCCGGUGCCCCGCUGUUCAUGGGUCUUCAGGUCUGGCUUCUGGGUUAGACUCAUGUUUGGAAGAGCGGGAGUUUGAAGAUCUUCAGGGAUUGCUUUUCAUGUUUUCUGUGAGUUCCUAUCCAUUUUUGGUUAUUAAUGGAAAUUCGAGUUUUACAUAUACAUUUAUUUUGAACCUAGAGAAUUGAAGUGUGAUUGAUUACUUCUAUUAACUUAGGUUAUAAACGAAAUAUUGAACUGUUUAAAUUUUCAGUGGGAGUGGGAAUAGUUAGUUAUUGCUGAUCUGGGUUUUCUGGAAUAUGGUUAUAUAUGUUUAAUUUAGGUUCGACUUGUAUGCAUUUAGUUCAUAGGAGUUUGCUGAUUAAAUGAUGGGCAUGGUUUGGUUAAUCUAAAGUAUAUUCAAAAUUUGCGAGAAUAUUUUUCUGUUAGUUAACUAGCAUUUUAUUCAUCGGGGUAAAUUCACUAGAACAUUGCAAAAUUUGGAAAUUCUGGAAUCAAGUGUUAUUUUUUUUAAAUGUUUUGUUUAAAGUUUUGAUGCAGCUCUGAUCAUGUGGGUGACAUAUCUGGUAAAUGACUCAAUUAGCAAUGCAGGUGUGCCAUGUAAUUAUAUAUAUUCAAGAGGGUUCGUGUUUUGACCCUCGAAUUUUGAAAAAGUUUAGGGUGUUGCAAGCAGCCAAGCAUGCAUUGGCUCCAUAUGUAAGAUCCAGAGCUACCCCGCCAUUGCCGUCUAGGUCUCAUUCUUCAUCAUCUUCCUCUAGGCCAACCCCUUCAACUGGUUCCUCUCCAGGGAGAAGUGGUGUCACAAAUCGCAAUGCUUCAGCUAUUUCUCUCAUGUCAGGUUUAGGUUUCUACACAUCGUUGUUUCCUGGACAUUGUACUCCAGUCAUACUAUUUGUCUUUGUUGAUGAUUUCUUUGAGAUGCCAAAUCCUAAUUCUAACACAGAGGAGUCAAAAGAUUUGUCCUUACUUAAUCAAUCUUCUGGUUUGAGUAGUGUGUCUAGGCCAAACUUACCUACUAAGGGUUCUGGUUCAGUUGUUGUGCUGGCACGCCCUGUUAGUAAAUCUGAAGGUGGUUUCAGGAAGAAACUGCAGUCAUCUCUGGAAGCACAGAUUCGUUUUCUGAUUAAGAAAUGCCGAACACUCUCAGGUGCUGAAAGUGGUCAUUCUGGUUCCAGAAGUGUAAGUGUGACAAGUUCUGCACCUUUGUUUUCUCUUGAUGCUUCACGGGCUGUUGUGCUGCUUGACAGGUUAAUAAAUCAGAGAGGUGAAUCUCUGGAGUUUGUUACUGACCUCGUGGAAGAUGUUUUGAAUGGAAAAGCUACAUCAGAUUCUCUUUUACUUGAAACCCAUGGUCAGAGUGCAAACAAGGAGGAUAUUUUAUCCAUAAAAGAGUUCAUUUUCAGACAAUCUGAUAUUCUGAGAGGUAGAGGGGGAUUGGUCACUAGCACCAGCAGCGGUCCAGCUGCUGGUGUUGGUAUGGUUGCUGUUGCUGCAGCUGCUGCUGCAGCCUCAGCUGCAUCUGGAAAGACACACACUACUCCUGAACUUCCAAGUUUGGAAAUAUGGUUAUCAUCAAGCCAACUCAUUCUACAUGGAAUUCUCUCUGCAAAACGGUGUGUAGAUGAAACAGAAGCUGUUAAAAGAAAAUCUCGCCAGCGAAACUCUGGUUUAACCCAAGUUGAAGGGUUUGCUCCUAAAGGCAUGGAUCCUUUAGAUGUUGCAGUUUCUUUGUUGGAAAGUGGCAGAGGACUGAAUGCAAAAUUUUCAACUUUGUGGUGUGAAAGGACCCUUCCAACUGCCAAAGAUGUUUAUCUGAAGGACUUGCCAGCUUGUUAUCCCACUUCAGAGCAUGAGGCCCAUUUAGGAAAGGCUUUAAGUGCUUUCUACUCGAUGGUCAGGGGACCUGCAGUGCCUCUUUUUGCAAAAAGGCUGGAGGAUGAAUGCACCUCCAUCUGGAAAUCUGGUAGGCAACUAUGUGAUGCUGUUAGUUUGACAGGAAAACCAUGUAUGCACCAGAGACAUGAUAUUGGAAAUGGAGAGCUAGAGUCACCUUUAGGAGCUCCAGUGAAGGCACAUUCAAGUGGAUAUUUUUUCCUUCAUGCUUGUGCCUGUGGCCGUUCACGGCAUAUGCGAUCAGAUCCUUUUGAGUUUGAAUCAGCAAAUGUUACUUCCAAUUGCUUUCAAGACUGUGACAAACUGCUUCCUGCAGUCCAAUUACCCAAGCAGGGCAAUGUGGGACCUGUUCAGUCAUCCUCAUGGAGUUUGAUUCGUGUUGGGGGGGCAAGGUAUUAUGAACCUUAUAGGGGCUUACUUCAGAGUGGGUUCUCUGCCUCACGGAAGUUUCUCUCGAAGUGGACAAUAAUUUUGGAAAAACCAGAGAAUCCAAAUGGUUUACCGGCCAAAACUGUGCGACAAGUUUCUAUGACUAGGCAAGGUACAGACCCACAGGUUGAAGUUAAUGCUGAGAUAGACAGACAGAAAACUGGUGCUGCACGGUUGUAUUCAGGAGACAUACAGGUUGGGGUUGAAAAUCAGCGAAAACUUUCAGAAAACAGCAAGAUUGAUGACAAAAAAAUUAGUUUUGGCAGAGGUUUGCCAAAUGUUAAAAUGAGAAAACCUUUUUCUGAGGUUGUUGCUGGAUCAUCAGCUGCUGAUUCGGGAUUUCCUCCUCUCCAGCAGAGGAAACAACCUUCAUCAGGUUCAGAAAGAAGUUUCAAACAAAACAGGGCAAGAGAUAGGAAUGCAGAACAGGUUCGUACAACUGUUGAUCAAGGAUCUCAGACAUCUGAAGAUGCUAUAUCUGGUCAAGAAGCCUUAAAUGAAAUAUCUAGCAGUGGUGGCAAACAUGGGGACCCUUAUGUACAGAUAGGAAGUAAUGUAGUUCCUGUGAACGUUAAUGGUGGUGAAAUGGUUAAACUGAACCCUACUUUGAAACAUGCAAUUGUUUAUAUUGGUUUUGAGCAUGAGUGCCCCCAUGGCCACCGUUUCUUAUUAAGUUUGGAUCUGCUUGAUGAACUAGGAUCUCCGUAUUCUUUUCCCAAAGAAUCCCAAGUCCCUUCUGUGGGAACUUCUGACCAUAAUCUGGCAAGUCCUUCAAAAUUGGGUGGGAAUGGUGGACAUGGCAGAAUUCAUCGAAGCUCAAAGGGAACAAAUGUUGCUGCUGCAAAUAAGUUCCGGAAUGUGGAUAAGUUAAAUGAAAUUGGGGCAAAUGGUGGUUUGCAUAUUGAUGGGUUGAUUCAUUUAUCCAGGGCAGGGAAGGAACAGAAUCAAACAUCUACCUGUGAAACAACAUAUCAAGAGUUUGUGAAAAAUCUUGAAGUGGACUUUCAUUCUAUUAGCCUUGAUGAUGGCGGAAGUGCUUUCUCCAUGUUGAAUAGAAAUUUGCCUAUAUACAUGAACUGUCCAUACUGCAGGCAUUCCAAGAAGAAGAAGGAUUCACAAAAGAUUAAGUUUGCUGGCGCAAUAUCGCAGUUACAGAGGAUUUUUUUGGUCACACCUCCAUUUCCAGUUGUAUUGGCAACAUGCCCAGUUGUACAAUUUGAGGUGUCAUGUUUGCCACCAUCAGUUGCAAACCGUGAACAGAAGUUGCAGUUCAGCCUUGGAUGUCGAGUGGUUCUACCACCAGAAAGUUUCCUAACACUAAGACUCCCGUUUGUGUAUGGUGUGCAACUAGAGGAUAGAAGUCCACUUCCUAUUAAUGCUUUUGAACAUCAACCUGAAAUGACUGCUUGGAUUUUGAAGGGCACAACAUUGCAGGUGAUUUCCAAGCAAAUCAGUCUCAAUAAGGAAACCCAGACAUAGUAGAAUUUCUGAACCUUGGAAUUUGGUCAUCAUAGUGAUCCAUUCCUUUUUUGAGUUCAUAGAAGCAGAUGUUUGUGACCAGCUUUUCCUUGACUAAGCUCAAGAAUUGAAAUGGCUUAUACUUGUGAUGAAACUGUAGUUGGUGAUCAAUCAGCAGCAACCAGAAGGCUGAGAAGUUGAGAACGUUCUGCUGUUGCAAGUAUUUUUCUCUUUUUGUUUCAUUCUGAAUAAAUAUUCUUCUUAUUUAUUUAUUUAUCCUAUUUAUGUGGCUACUUUUUAUUAUGUAGAAUUUGGACCUAUAGGUGGCUGUUGCUUUCCAGUGGACGUUCCUGUUGCCAUGGUAUGCCACUCUUUAUCUGUGCUUGGACUCUGAUGUUUUGUGCUCAUGGAUAAUUUCAAUUAUGUGUUUUCUUGUCAUGUGAUUAACAGCGCUCUGCAUCUUGGGGGAAAAAAAAAAACCUCUCCCUCCUGCUCUUUUCUUCUUCCAAUGAUGAGCUAAAAAGCAAUUAAGAAAAUGAAAAUAAUAAAUGAACCAGAUGGUAGAUAAUUGCUGUUCUUUCUACAGAAUGAAAGACAUUAAUGCUAGGGAGAGUGUAAAGCAAUCCCAUGGGUGGUGGCCUGGUGGGGUGGUUAUUUAUUAUGAUAAAAAUUGUUAUAUUAAAAUAAAUUUAUCAUCUCUAGCUAAUGUAAUUAAGAUUGCUUAACUUCUCUGAUAAAGGAUUUAUUCUUUUGACAGUUUAUGUCUUUGCAUGUGGCAUACUUGUGAGAUGAAGGAUGCGCAGAUAUAUCCUGGAGUCCUCUUGCAAAAUUAUCUGUUUCUUCAAUAUUUUGACCCUACAUCAAUAUUCUGGUGUGGGCUACAAAGUUGUACUGGAUUAACAUGGGCGGACGGGACGCUCUAGAUUUGAUGAAUAUUAUUGAUACCUUUUCUGUGGUGAUGUAAACUAAAAUAUUAUAUAAUAUUGUCAUCUUUAUUUCCAUGUGUUCUGGAUUUUCUUUUCCAUUUGCAUGACAGUUCUGUAGCAGUUGAAAGCCUGCCAAAUAAUGGUUACCAAACGUAGUUGGACCAGGUAAUCAAUGCAGAUCACGAGAACUCG
rnacentral:misc_RNA from 1 species